GGCGUUCGCGGAGGCACACGUGGCAGAUACCGGUUCGGCGACGCUUGAAAGGGUGCUUUGGACAUUUCCAUAUCUCUUCUUCAUCGACGUAAAGAGCCAUUUUGGUGUAAGUUCCCUAUGUCUCCCUCUCCAAAAGAAAUUGUUUUGUUCUUGUUUCUCUCUCUACGCAGCUUGUUGUUUCUUUUCUGGCUUUCUGGAUUUGCUUCUUAAGGAUUUAUAAAAUGACUUGACCAUGAUUAAGUAUCUCGAGUCAAAACUUAACUACGGUCAAACUAAUUAAAUAAUUAAUCAAUCAUUCAAUCAGAGCCGAUUAGAAUGCCAGUGUCAGACGGAGCGUUUUGGAGUGGAUAAUAAAUGUCCUUUACUAAGAGAGUAAUUUACUAGAAUGCCAUAAAUAGGGAGUGGCCUCUACACUCUACAGCGCGGGGUCGGGUUGGGGCCUGGGGGGGUGUUUGGUGAUGAAAUUACCAGCAUAUUUUAAUUUAAUUACGGAUAUGCCAGUUCACACGAAUUAAAACAUGUAAGGGUGUAUUUGUCGUAAGGGGAACAGGUAGUCUCGUCCGUGUAUGGAAGGGGACUCUAGUGACCUAGUCGAGUCAUAGAUGAACAACAAAAUGUGGGACCCAAUUGACUAAAUGAUUUGUUUUAUUUUACUAGUAUUUUUAAUAUUAGAGAGGGAUUGCUGGGAUAUCAUGUUGACUGUGUUUGGUUUGAGAUUUUUAUUUUAUUUUUUUUUCCUAAGCAGUGCUUAUUACUAAUUAGUAUUUUACAGGGAUUGUUGACCAACAAGGCUGUAAUAACUAAUAGUCAAAACGAUACCAUCAAAUGUUUGUUAUUUUAGUUCCUCUGACAAGUUCACACGUGAACGAACUGAUGCACUUAUGCUUCGAUUCCCUGUAGUGUCCGAGAUAUGCAUAUCUUUUAAAUUUGUCAUAAAGUUUAUAUAUUUUUACAUAACAUAGCCGACAUUCCAUAAUAUACUUAUAUUGCAGCCUUUGUAUCAUC
rnacentral:lncRNA from 1 species